GGGGAUGUAGCUCAGUGGUAGAGCGCAUGCUUUGCAUGUAUGAGGCCCGGGUUCGAAACCCGACAUCUCAU
rnacentral:tRNA from 1 species